rnacentral:rRNA from 1 species
UAAUUAAAAAAAAAUUUU